AUUGAACGCUGGCGGCAGGCUUAACACAUGCAAGUCGAACGAGUGGCGUACGGGUUAGUAAUGCUUGGGAAUCUAGCUUAUGGAGGGUGAUAACUACGGGCAACCGUAGCUACUACCGCGUACCAUAGGUGGUGCCCAAGUGGGAUUAGGUAGUUGGUGAGGUAAAGGCUCACCAAGCGGACGAUCCUGAGCUGGUCUGAGAGGAUGACCAGCCAAACGGGGACGGAGACACGGCCCAGACUCCGACGGGAGGCAGCAGUGGGGAAUAGUGAGCAAUGGGGGCAACCUGACGCAGCCAUGCCGCGUGAAUGAAGAAGGCCUUCGGGUUGUAAAGUUCUUUCGGUAGCGAGGCGUUAACUACAGAAGAAGCACCGGCUAACUCCGUGCCAGCAGCCGCGGUAAUUC
rnacentral:rRNA from 1 species